rnacentral:rRNA from 1 species
GUGCCAGCCGCCGCGGUAAUACAUAGGUGGCAAGCGUUGUCCGGAUUUACUGGGCGUAAAGGAUGUGUAGGCGGAUAUUUAAGUGAGAUGUGAAAUCCCCGGGCUUAACUUGGGGGCUGCAUUUCAAACUGGAUGUCUAGAGUGCAGGAGAGGAAAGCAGAAUUCCUAGUGUAGCGGUGAAAUGCGUAGAGAUCAGGAGAAAUACCAGUGGCGAAGGCGGUUUUCUGGACAGUUACUGACG